rnacentral:tmRNA from 1 species
GGGGACGAAAAUGGUUUCGACGGGGAUUCGGAAACUCCAGUAGCAAGCCGUUGUUGAGUCACACAACGUAAAACAGGCUCAAAAAAACAAAUGCUAACAACAACGAAUUAGCACUGGCAGCGUAACUCACGCUACCCGCUGAACCGGGAACUCCACGGCCCGGGGAAGUGUCAUUCAGUGGAGAACUUCGCGGGCUAAGCUUUGCCCCCAGCGUCGUAUGAUGAAGCUACCCGAGAGAAAGUUUGGUUGACUCUUCUUCUCAAGGGGAAAACAAAGAGACAACUGAGCUUGGAGAAGCUGUUGCGGAAGAAUUUUCGGACGCGAGUUCGACUCUCGCCGUCUCCACCA